rnacentral:rRNA from 1 species
CUUUUAUGGGGUGACUGCGUACCUUUUGUAUAAUGGGUCAGCGACUUAUAUUCUGUAGCAAGGUUAACCGUAUAGGGGAGCCGGAGGGAAACCGAGUCUUAACCGGGCGUUAAGUUGCAGGGUAUAGACCCGAAACCCGGUGAUCUAGCCAUGGGCAGGUUGAAGGUUGGGUAACACUAACUGGAGGACCGAACCGACUAAUGUUGAAAAAUUAGCGGAUGACCUGUGGCUGGGGGUGAAAGGCCAAUCAAACCGGGAGAUAGCUGGUUCUCCCCGAAAGCUAUUUAGGUAGCGCCUCGUGAAUUCAUCUCCGGGGGUAGAGCACUGUUUCGGCUAGGGGGUCAUCCCGACUUACCAACCCGAUGCAAACUGCGAAUACCGGAGAAUGUUAUCACGGGAGACACACGGCGGGUGCUAACGUCCGUCGUGAAGAGGGAAACAACCCAGACCGCCAGCUAAGGUCCCAAAGUCAUGGUUAAGUGGGAAACGAUGUGGGAAGGCCCAGACAGCCAGGAUGUUGGCUUAGAAGCAGCCAUCAUUUAAAGAAAGCGUAAUAGCUCACUGGUCGAGUCGGCCUGCGCGGAAGAUGUAACGGGGCUAAACCAUGCACCGAAGCUGCGGCAGCGACGCUUAUGCGUUGUUGGGUAGGGGAGCGUUCU